GCGCUGGAAGCCCUGGCGGCGGCGGCCCAUGGGGCCCUUGGCGCUGCCCGCCUGGCUGCAGCCCAGGUAUAGGAAGAAUGCGUAUCUUUUCAUCUAUUACUUAAUCCAGUUCUGUGGCCACUCUUGGAUAUUUACAAAUAUGACAGUCAGAUUCUUUUCAUUUGGAAAAGAUUCAAUGGUUGACACUUUUUAUGCUAUUGGACUUGUGAUGCGACUUUGCCAAUCCGUAUCUCUCCUGGAACUGCUGCACAUAUAUGUUGGCAUUGAGUCAAACCAUCUUCUCCCAAGGUUUUUGCAGCUCACAGAAAGAAUAAUCAUCCUUUUUGUGGUGAUCACCAGUCAAGAGGAAGUCCAAGAGAAAUAUGUGGUGUGUGUUUUAUUCGUCUUUUGGAAUCUAUUGGAUAUGGUUAGGUACACUUAUAGCAUGUUAUCAGUCAUAGGAAUAUCCUAUGCUGUCUUGACAUGGCUCAGUCAAACACUAUGGAUGCCAAUUUAUCCUUUGUGUGUUCUUGCUGAAGAGGCAAAGUUGAAGAGGGAAGCAGCUCUGCACAGUAGACAAAAUACUGGACAAAAAGCAACGGCAUCUGAGGCCUUCACUUCAUUAACUCACUGUCAUUUGCCAUCUAUCAAUCGCUGCCUUAUUUUGAAUCAUUUGGCACUUAUUCCACCAAGCUGCCCUUUGACUUAUCCAUCUAUUUCCCAUAUGUGCUGAAAAUAUAUCUCAUGAUGCUCUUUAUAGGUAUGUAUUUUACCUACAGUCAUCUAUACUCAGAAAGAAGAGACAUCCUCGGAAUCUUUCCCAUUAAAAAAAAGAAGAUGUGAAGUACAGCAUUCCAGUGUGACACGAGAAAAGACAGGCUGUGGAUUCAGUGCAGUAAAUAAAACACAGGAAGUAUUC
rnacentral:lncRNA from 1 species